AUGGCCCUUAGGGAAGUGGCUCGCGUGGGCGCACGCUACACCUGGACCAACAAGCAGCUUACGCCGGUGCGGUCUGUGCUGGACCGGGUUUUUAUGUCCGCGGAGUGGGAAAUGCUAUUUCCCAUGUGCUCCCUACACGCUGAAACGAGGAUCGGGUCGGAUCACAUCCCCUUAAUCCUUUCCUCAGGGGAGGAAAGGUUAAAACGUAGCCCUCGUUUUUUCUUUGAAACCGCGUGGUUCGAAUCUCCGGACUUUGAGCAAAUCUUUCUCUCCAAAUGGGAGACAUGCGUCGCCCGGAUCGGGCACACGCGCGGGCCAAUGGAGUUUUGGAUUGCCGCAGGGGCGGGCAUGCGUGCGGCUCUCAAAGGUUGGGGGGCCAACCAGGGCCGCGAGGAUAAGCUGCUCCAAUCGCGUUUGACCGCGGACUUGGCUUGUAUGGACGCGGUUGCGGAUGCGCAGGGUUUCUCGGAGCAAGACUGGGCUCAGCGCUAUGCAUUAGAAGCCCAAGUCGAGUCCCUCCUUAGAGCAGAGGAGGAGUACUGGCGUAGACGCGGUGGAAUCAAGUGGACGCUCAAGGGUGACGCGAACACUAAGUAUUUUCAUGCCUACGCUAACGGCCGACGCCGUAAGUGCGCCAUCUUGAGACUGCAAUCCGAGCAGGGGCUCCUUUUGCGCCAACAGGACAUCGUCCGUCACAUUUACGAUUUCUACAUCCAACUGAUGGGCUCCAGGGAGCAGUCUCGCGCUCGGCUGCGGCUGGAGGUUUGGGAUCCGGCGUUGCGGGUCACGGACGAGGAAAAUGAGGGCCUGGGGCUGGCCUUCCUCCCCCAGGAGAUUGAUGUGGCGGCUCUUGGGAUGAAAACAGAAACCGCCCCUGGUCCGGAUGGGUGGCCGGUGGCGAUGUUUAAACGGUUUUGGCAAGUGCUCAAAGGGCCAUUUUUCGAUGUAUGUAAUGGGUUCAUGCGUGGUAGUGUAGAUAUCUCUCGCCUGAACUUUGGGGUUCUCUCUCUGAUCCCCAAAGUACAGGGUGCGGACUGUAUUAGACUAUUUUGUCCCAUUGCGCUUAUUAACGUCCCGUUUAAAAUCUGUUCUAAGGCUUGUUCUACGCGCUUGUCUCCGAUAGCUCAUCGUAUUAUUAGUAGGAACCAGUCGGCUUUUAUUCGUGGUCGCAACAUUUUGAAGGGGCCGUUGGCCCUCCAAGAGAUCGUUCACUCGCUCAAACGCACUCGACAGCCUGCCAUUCUUUUGAAAUUAGAUUUUGAGAAGGCGUACGAUCGAGUGAACUGGGAGUUUCUCCAACAAGUCCUCCUAGACCGAGGAUUUUCGUCGGUGUGGGUUCAUUGCAUGAUGCUAUUGGUCUCGGGGGGCCAAACGGCGAUCGCGGUGAAUGGAGAAGUAGGGAACUUCUUCCGCAACAAGCGUGGGCUGCGUCAAGGGGACCCAGCCUCGCCGUUGCUCUUUAACUUUGUGGCGGACGCCCUGGGCGCCAUGCUAGACAAAGCUCGUAUUGCCGGCCACAUCAGGGGAGUGGUCGGCAAUCUGAUCCCAGGAGGCGUGUCACACCUACAGUAUGCGGAUGACACACUCCUCCUUUUCGAGCCGGACUUACACAGUAUCGCAACGGUUAAGGCCAUUCUACUGUGCUUUGAGCUUAUGUCUGGGCUCAAAAUAAACUUCCACAAAUGUGAAGUGGUGUCCAUAGGGAUGGACGCGGCCGAAAGUCUGCGGGUAGCCAAUUUGCUUAAUUGCAAACUUGGGAAAUUUCUGUUCACCUACCUCGGCCUCCCGAUCGCAGAGAAGAAAUGCUCGAUUGCCGAUUGGGAACCUCUCAACACUAAGGUGGCGGGCCGGGUUUGUCCAUGGAGAGGUCGAUUUAUGUCUUCAGGGGCUAGACUUAUCUUAACUAAUUCCAGCCUCUCGUCCCUACCUAUGUUUUCCAUGGGGCUAUUCUUGCUGGCUGAUGGGGUCCACACCAAAAUGGACACUCCGCGGGCCCGUUUCUUUUGGGAAGGAGCGGGACCGAAAUGUAAAUACCAUAUGGUUAAAUGGCAGGCCGUUUGUAGACCUAAAGCCCCCGGGGGCCUCAGGAUCAUCAACUCUAAGUUGAUGAACAUUGCACUCAUGUGUAAGUGGAUCUGGAAGUUGUCUCAGGGAGAGACCGGCCUCUGGAUGGACCUCCUACGUGCCAAAUACUUCCCUGAUGGGAAUUUCUUUGAGGCAGCAUCCCAUGGGUCUCCUUUCUGGAACUCCAUCCAACCCCUAAAACCUUUCUUUGCCAGGGGCGCGAGGUUCUCGGUUAAUAAUGGUCGUUCCACGUGUUUCUGGCAUGACGUUUGGAUUGGCCAACAACCUCUUUGGUCGGAGUUUGGCCAACUUUACUCACUCGCUGUCGAGCCCAACCAACUGCUCGCUUCGGCACUAUGUUCCUCCCCGCCUCCUAUCUACUUUAGAAGGGAGCUCUCGGGGCCGGAGAUGGAGGAUUGGGAUCGCCUACGGGCUAAGAUAGCGGACGUGCGCUUGUCGAACACCGCGGAUUCGGUCUCCUGGAGACUUUCGGGCUCUGGCAAGUUCACCGUCAAUUCCCUUUAUAGAGAGCUGUCCCGCGGCCAUGUCCCUAUGGCUGCCACGGGGCUUUGGAAGGCUCGAAUUCCUCUCAAGAUCAAGGUUUUCCUCUGGCAACUUUGCCAAGAUCGCCUCCCUACUUCUAUCAAUAUAGCCAAGCGCAAUGGCCCGGCCUCCGGACCUUGUGCUUUGUGUGGUGUCCCGGAAGAUGCUGACCACGCGUUCUUCCGGUGCUCUUUGGCGCGCUUUUCUUGGAGCGCGGUCCAUGAGGCCGCGGGUGUGGAUUGGGAUCCACGCUCCCGCUCUGAGCUCGUGUCAUCCUUGUCCUUGGUCCAGGGCUCUUUGCGCCGGGUCAUGUGGACAUGUGCGGUGGCCAUGUUAUGGGCUUUAUGGCAUAUUCGUAACAAGUUUACUAUUGAUGGAGUGUUCCCCUCUCACCCGCUGACGUAA
rnacentral:rRNA from 1 species